rnacentral:tRNA from 3 species
UCCGACUUAGCUCAGUGGUAGAGCAAUCGGCUGUUAACCGAUUGGUCGCUGGUUCGAGCCCAGCAGUCGGAGCCA